ACUCUCUAGCAUACCGACCUGAAUGUGUCUGAUCUUGUCUAAUCUCAGAAGCUAACCUGGUUAGUUAGUACUUGGAUGGGAGACAUAGGUUGGUACUUCUGUCUUUUAAGUU
rnacentral:rRNA from 1 species